AAACAUGUGCUUGGCUCAUCAAGUGAUGUGUUAGAAGGUUUUUGCUUGGCAUCUCACCCACCAGCUGUCAAAAAGCAUUAUGCUGUUCCUACUUUGCCAUCUAAUUUUAGACCUAUUCAUACUGUGCCACAGAUUACUCAGAGCCAUACUAUCACACAUGGUCAUACUUCUCGCCAUGCUUUAUCAGCUGAUGAGCGCUCAUUACUGCUUGGGGAAAAGAAAUUUCGUUCCUUUCAGUUAAAUGCAAGUCAAAAAACAGAAAAGAAUUUUGAAUCACAACAAAAAAUCUGUACACCGUUGACCCAAGAACAUAAAUCAUUGCCAUCAUUUCGACCUUUCCCCAGUGAUUUAUCAAAACAAGAGAGAUAUGAAGAAUAUUUGAAACUUAAAAGCACUGGAGAAAUUGAAAAGUUAAAACAACCUUCUUCAAUGAAUGACUGAAUGGGAAAAACAGCAGGAACUAGAAGAAUUUGCUAGAGCUGCCAUGCUUUUUAAACCUUCGUCAUCUGCAUUAUUAAGUUCAAAAUUUGAAUCAAAAUCACAUCUUAGCGUAGAGCAUGAAGUAAUGUCUGCUCUGAAAAAACUUAAGGUAUAAAAUCAAAUUCUUUUAAAAAUAUUAACUUCC